CACGGAGGGGGCAAGCGUUGUCCGGAUUUACUGGGCGUGAAGCGCGCGUAGGCGGUCCAUUAAGUCGGCUGUGAAAUCGCUGGGCUCAACUCAGCAGGGUCAGUCGAUACUGGUGGACUCGAGUCCGGGAGAGGGAAGUGGAAUUGCUGGUGUAGCGGUGGAAUGCGUAGAUAUCAGCAAGAACACCGGUGGCGAAGGCGACUUCCUGGACCGGCACUGACGCUGAGGCGCGAAAGCUAGGGGAGCGAACCGGAUUAGAUACCCGGGUAGUCCUAGCUGUAAACGAUGGUCACUAGGUGUUGGGGGUAUCGACCCCCCCAGUGCCGCAGCUAACGCAUUAAGUGACCCGCCUGGGGAGUACGGCCGCAAGGCUGAAACUCAAAGGAAUUGACGGGGCCCCGCACAAGCGGUGGAGCAUGUGGCUCAAUUCGAGGCUACGCGAAGAACCUUACCAGGGCUUGACAUCUGCGGAACCCUGCUGAAAGGCGGGGGUGCCCUUCGGGGAGCCGCAAGACAGGUGGUGCAUGGCUGUCGUCAGCUCGUGUCGUGAGAUGUUGGGUUAAGUUCCGCAACGAGCGCAACCCUCGUCCUAUGUUGCCAUCAGUUCGGCUGGGCACUCAUGGGAGACUGCCAGAGCAAUCUGGAGGAAGGUGGGGAUGACGUCAAGUCAGCAUGCCCCUUACGCCCUGGGCUGCACACAUGCUACAAUGGGCGGCACAGAGGGAAGCAAGACCGCGAGGUGGAGCCGAUCCCACAAAGCCGUCCUCAGUUCGGAUCGGAGUCUGCAACUCGACUCCGUGAAGUCGGAAUCGCUAGUAACUGCAGGUCAGCUACACUGCGGUGAAUACGUUCCCCGGGGCU
rnacentral:rRNA from 1 species